UGAGGAAUAUUGGUCAAUGGGCGGGAGCCUGAACCAGCCAAGCCGCGUGAGGGAGGAAGGCCCUAUGGGUCGUAAACCUCUUUUGUCAGGGAACAAAAGCGAGUAUGUAUACUAGUCUGAGUGUACCUGAAGAAAAAGCAUCGGCUAACUCCGUGCCAGCAGCCGCGGUAAUACGGAGGAUGCGAGCGUUAUCCGGAUUUAUUGGGUUUAAAGGGUGCGUAGGCGGCGGUGCAAGUCAGCGGUAAAAGCCCGGGGCUCAACCCCGGCGAGCCGUUGAAACUGCAGUGCUAGAGAAGGCGAGAGGUACGCGGAAUGCGCAGUGUAGCGGUGAAAUGCUUAGAUAUUGCGCAGAACUCCGAUUGCGAAGGCAGCGUACUGGCGCCUGACUGACGCUGAGGCACGAAAGCGUGGGGAUCGAACAGGAUUAGAUACC
rnacentral:rRNA from 1 species